UACGGAGGGUGCGAGCGUUUGUCCGGAAUCACUGGGCGUAAAGGGCGCGUAGGCGGCCUGAUAAGUAGGGGGUGAAAUCCUGCGGCUUAACCGCAGGGCUGCCUUCUAAACUGUCAGGCUAGAGCACAGUAGAGGCAGGUGGAAUUCCUGGUGUAGCGGUGAAAUGCGCAGAUAUCAGGAGGAACACCGGUGGCGAAGGCGGUUCUCUGGGCAUUACCUGACGCUGAGGAGCGAAAGUGUGGGGGAGCGAACAGG
rnacentral:rRNA from 1 species